AAGCGUCAAAGCUUAAUUGAGCUAACAAUUAAUUCCAACCCCACUAAAGAACCCUUAAACAGUACUGAGUAAUUCUAUACCAAUAUAGAAGAUUUUAUGUUAAAACUAGUAACAAGAAGAAGAACUUCUCCUACAAUGCAAAUGUAAAUCAGACAGGACACUCCGCUGAUAAUUAACACCAAUGAACAUAAAGUAGUAACAUAACAAGAAAACCCUACUAUACUGUAUGUUAACCUAACACUAGAGCAUUUCAAGAAAGAUUAAAAGAAAAAGAAGGAACUCGGCAAAUAUUAACCUCGCCUGUUUACCAAAAACAUCGCCUCUUGAAUAAAUAUAAGAGGUCCAGCCUGCCCAGUGACCAUGUUCAACGGCCGCGGUAUCCUAACCGUGCGAAGGUAGCGUAAUCACUUGUUCUUUAAAUAAGGACUAGUAUGAACGGCACCACGAAGGUUAUACUGUCUCCUCUUUCUAAUCAGUGAAACUAAUCCCCCCGUGAAGAAGCGGGGAUAAGAAUAUAAGACGAGAAGACCCUAUGGAGCUUUAAACUAUAAAGCACCUGCCACCACAUAACCAAAUUUCAGAAGACUACCAUCACUCAGGCAGGGUGACCCCUAGUUUUAGGUUGGGGUGACCGCGGAGCAAAAAACAACCUCCACAUUGAAAGGAGUCCCACUCCUUAGCCAAGAGCCACACCUCUACGCACCAACAAAAAGACAUUAAUUGACCCAAUAUUUUGAUCAACGAACCAAGUUACCCUAGGGAUAACAGCGCAAUCCACUUCAAGAGCCCCUAUCGACAAGUGGGUUUACGACCUCGAUGUUGGAUCAGGGUAUCCCGGUGGUGCAGCCGCUACCAAAGGUUCGUUU
rnacentral:rRNA from 1 species